rnacentral:lncRNA from 10 species
UAAUUGAGUAAGUUAUACUCCUGUGGACAAAAUUUGGAGUAUGUUUGUUUCUCUUUGCCUGGUUCCUGUAGAAUUUGGAAACUAUCGCCAUCCCACUCCAAAUGGUCAUGCAGUUGAAGCCUUGGAUGCUGGCCCCUUCUGCCAAGGACCCUUACAUAGACCUCUGAGGGAGCUCUGACUACCAUUUCCUCAAAACAGUGCCCCCUGUCAGCAGGAAGCAGUUAAGAUUGAUCUUCAUCCUUAUCCUUACUCUGAUGGCAGUGACAUGUACUUCUUCAGAGGGAGGAAUGAUAGCUGCAGGAGGAAAAUAACGGUGAAUAUCCCCAGAGAAUCUCCCACCGGCCUGCGUGAUGGAGGGAUGGGGUGGAGUCUCGGGAAAUUUGCGCUGUUUGCACUGGGGGAGGCUGGCCCCUUCUGUUCCUGGGUAGAACCUGGGAUUCAAACUGUGAAAUGGGGCCCCGUUAACAGGAACUUCUCUCACUUUUCUGAGAGGUUUUCUUCCUU